rnacentral:rRNA from 1 species
GAGUUUGAUCCUGGCUCAGGACGAACGCUGGCGGCGCGCCUAACACGUGCGAGUCGAACGAGAGAGAGGGAGCUUGCUUCCUCAAUCGAGUGGCGAACGGGUGAGUAAUGCGUGAGGAACCUGCCUCAAAGAGGGGGACAACAGUUGGAAACGACUGCUAAUACCGCAUAAGCCCACAGCUCGGCAUCGAGCAGAGGGAAAAGGAGCAAUCCGCUUUGAGAUGGCCUCGCGUCCGAUUAGCUGGUUGGUGAGGUAAUGGCCCACCAAGGCGACGAUCGGUAGCCGGACUGAGAGGUUGAACGGCCACAUUGGGACUGAGACACGGCCCAGACUCCUACGGGAGGCAGCAGUGGGGAAUAUUGCACAAUGGGGGAAACCCUGAUGCAGCGACGCCGCGUGGAGGAAGAAGGUCUUCGGAUUGUAAACUCCUGUUGUUGAGGAAGAUAAUGACGGUACUCAACAAGGAAGUGACGGCUAACUACGUGCCAGCAGCCGCGGUAAAACGUAGGUCACAAGCGUUGUCCGGAAUUACUGGGUGUAAAGGGAGCGCAGGCGGGAAGACAAGUUGGAAGUGAAAUCUAUGGGCUCAACCCAUAAACUGCUUUCAAAACUGUUUUUCUUGAGUAGUGCAGAGGUAGGCGGAAUUCCCGGUGUAGCGGUGGAAUGCGUAGAUAUCGGGAGGAACACCAGUGGCGAAGGCGGCCUACUGGGCACCAACUGACGCUGAGGCUCGAAAGUGUGGGUAGCAAACAGGAUUAGAUACCCUGGUAGUCCACACCGUAAACGAUGAUUACUAGGUGUUGGAGGAUUGACCCCUUCAGUGCCGCAGUUAACACAAUAAGUAAUCCACCUGGGGAGUACGACCGCAAGGUUGAAACUCAAAGGAAUUGACGGGGGCCCGCACAAGCAGUGGAGUAUGUGGUUUAAUUCGACGCAACGCGAAGAACCUUACCAAGUCUUGACAUCCUGCGACGCACAUAGAAAUAUGUGUUUCCUUCGGGACGCAGAGACAGGUGGUGCAUGGUUGUCGUCAGCUCGUGUCGUGAGAUGUUGGGUUAAGUCCCGCAACGAGCGCAACCCUUACUGUCAGUUACUACGCAAGAGGACUCUGGCAGGACUGCCGUUGACAAAACGGAGGAAGGUGGGGAUGACGUCAAAUCAUCAUGCCCUUUAUGACUUGGGCUACACACGUACUACAAUGGCGUUAAACAAGGAGAAGCAAGACCGCGAGGUGGAGCAAAACUCAGAAACAACGUCCCAGUUCGGACUGCAGGCUGCAACUCGCCUGCACGAAGUCGGAAUUGCUAGUAAUCGUGGAUCAGCAUGCCACGGUGAAUACGUUCCCGGGCCUUGACACACCGCCCGUC